rnacentral:rRNA from 1 species
AUGAAAAUUCUCAGCUGGAACUGUCGGGGUUUGGGGCAACCCCGGACAGUUCAAGAGUUGGUGUGCCUGGUGAGCACACACUGUCCAUCUAUCGUUUUUUUAUCAGAGACUAGGCAGAAUAAGGAGAGAGUGAGCAACCUCAGGUGGCGAUUGGGGCUUAAGAACUGUAUGUUGCACGAUGGCAUAGGAAAGGGAGCAGGAAUCACUUUGUACUGGGAUGAAUCUGUUGAA